UUCGCUCUGCAAACUGCGUGGAUGUCACCAAUAACAACGCCUGACCUUUUCUGGAGGUGGGGAUUUCCUGGAGGAAGGACAGAAAAGGAGGCAUCAGAAAAGACCAGGAUUUAUCAUAACAAAUGAUGCAAUCAUUUCACCAAAAGGAACAGCUGAUCAUCACUUUCAUCCAGGAGCUUUAGUGGAGGGUGGAUGAAUAUAUGAAGGACCAACCGAAGGAAAUCCCACCUGAGCCUGUCAACAUCUCUUCCAGUUCUGGCCCCAAUGACAUCACUUCCUCUGACCCAGCUAUAAAAACUCCAUCUUGCUACAAUUAAUUUAGUUCUGUCCUGAACUCAGUCUGAAAGGACCUUUUGAUUGCUGAUUUUUACAUAUUUUGUUUCAAGUAAAUAGGGCAGAUACCCCAUUGUGUUAUCUUUUCACAAUGUGUAUAUAUAUAUAUUACAUAGUUUACUGUCAAAUAAUGCAAAGCGCAAACAUCCGCCAUGGGUGCCCUUGGUGCAGUGGAGUGUGUACACCUGAUGAGCCCAAAAAAUGGGGAAACAUGUGUCGCGUAUUCUUUGCAUUAUUUGACAGUAAACUAUGUAAUAUUCUAUGAUCUGCUUCUUGCAACUAAGAGGGCACCCGUGGCAGAUGUUUGCUGAUUGGCAGACCAACCACAAGCGUUACCUGGUAGGUAACCACCCAUACAAUCAGAUUGGGACUCAGACAACGGAUGCUAUGUAUGUAAUUACUCCGAUCUCCAGGCUGUCAAAUAAACGAAUCACAUGCCAUGGAGCAGCAUAAAGGGACUUCAUCUCUGACGCUGAUGUCCGAGUUUCGAUCCCAGCGAGGGGUGCAGUUGAGUGUGUGUGCUGAUGAGCCCAAAUAAGAGCGAAACACAUAUCGCAUACUCUUUGCAUUA